AUUGAACGCUGGCGGCGUGCUUAACACAUGCAAGUCGAACGAGUGGCGAACGGGUGAGUAACACGUGGGUGACCUGCCCUGCACUUCGGGAUAAGCCUGGGAAACUGGGUCUAAUACCGGAUCGUGUGGGAUGGGACCGCGGCCUAUCAGCUUGUUGGUGGGGUAAUGGCUACCAAGGCGCGACGGGUAGCCGGCCUGAGAGGGUGGACGGCCACAUUGGGACUGAGACACGGCCCAGACUCCUACGGGAGGCAGCAGUGGGGAAUCUUCCGCAAUGGACGAAAGUCUGACGGAGCAACGCCGCGGGAGUGAUGACGGCCUUCGGGUUGUAAAGCUCUGUUAAUCGGGACGCGGUACCGGAAUAGAAAGCCACGGCUAACUACGUGCCAGCAGCCGCGGUAAUAC
rnacentral:rRNA from 1 species